rnacentral:tRNA from 1 species
UCCCUGAUGGUCCAGUGGUUAGGACUUGCCCUUCCAAAGCAGGGGGUGCAGGUUCGGCCCCUGGUUGGGGAG